rnacentral:rRNA from 1 species
CACCGGCAGCUGAAGUGGUAGCCGCUUUUAUUGGGCCUAAAGCGUCCGUAGCCGGUCUGAUAAGUCUCUGGUGAAAUCCCACAGCUUAACUGUGGGAAUUGCUGGAGAUACUAUCAUGACUCGAGGUCGGGAGAGGCUGGAGGUACUCCCAGGGUAGGGGUGAAAUCCUGUAAUCCUGGGAGUACCACCUGUGGCGAAGCCGUCCAGCUGAAACGAACCUGACGGUGAGGGACUAAAGCCAGGGGCGCGAACCGG